rnacentral:piRNA from 1 species
UAAAACACCACAAGGAGAUUCUUCAGUUGC